AACAGUUUCUCUCCUUUUUAUUCUGGUCAGGUUCACAGGAAGAAAAUAUUCUGUUCACAUGGAGUAAAAUGUUGAAACAGUAAAAUGCAUUUCACAGUAUUAGUCAAUAUUCCCAAAGUCCUUUACUGAUGAAAAAAACACAAACUUCUUUCCAAUCCCUAAUGGGUUGAAUUACCUUUGUCUCCCUCCCCACACCCACUUUUCUCUUUGGAGAGAACUGAAGCUUUAACAGCGUUUCCCCAGUAAUACAUGGAAUUUUACGGCAGAAAAACUAGGUCUUCUUGAUGUCUCUACUUCCUAAUGCAAGAGCAGCAGGAACUAAUCAUUCAUUGUCCAUAGAAUUAUCUGUCUUUAUUCAACUAUGUGCAAGCAUAUGAGUCAACAUUAACAGGGAACUGUUUUCCUAGGUAAUCUGCACCUGUGAUUUCUUCUAAGAAUGCUUCACUCAAGCCCCUUUUUGCUCCCAUGUUCUCUCCCCACCUGCUGCCAUCCGCCACAGCACAGCAGUGCAGAAUCCCUGUGCAGCACUGAGGAAGAUGAAGUGCUGCAGUCACUCAGCUGGCUCCUUUGCCUUUUUUAGUGCUCCCAGAGAGCUGGGAGAGUUCAAAGAAAGUGAACCUAUUGCCUGAAUCCCUUCACAUUUAAACUGUGCAGAGGAAGCCUUGGGUCUGAUGAGGAGACCUACACUCCAGCUGUUUCAAAUACAGUAGCAGCAUCAAGGAUAGCCACUGCAAAUCCUGAUUUUUUUACUGCCCCUUCAAAAAUAACUUUUACAAGUUCUUUUUUACCACAUAUAAGCUGAGCUUUUUUCUUGGCUCUUGGGAAUGAAGGGAAAUCUUGUAAUUUGAGUAAGAGGAAGCCUGGAAGUGUGCUCUCCCCAGAGACCUACAAAGGAAUAACAUCUGAGCCGCUGUGCCUCUCUUGUUUUUGCGAGAGGGAAUAUACACCUUUGCUCAGGGAAUAUACAGUUUUGCUCCCUUCUGCAGGCACUGAGCCAAGCAGUCUGGUCAGGAAGGCAGUGCGAGCAGGAACAAAUUCUGCUCCCCAUGGCCUACCAGUUGUUGCUUACAAGAGAGUAUGAGGUGAGCAGAGACUUCCUCUUCUUGUCUGGAGGCACAAUGGCCCUAGCUAGCCUGGGAUAAAAACAUGUUAUAGGCAUAUGUAGUGACAGGUACUCUGGCACACACCUAUACACCAACAACUUGCUCAUAAAGUCUGGUUUAGCAAUGACAGCAGGUAUGAUGAGUUAAAUGACAGGCUGGGCUCCUUCCCAUUAGUGUGUCAGCCAGCUGAGUAAGAGCCAGCAUUGACCAGGCUUGUCAAACAUUCCAUAUGCACUACCAUCAUACCUGUAUACUCCAACUCUGUCAAUGGCAAACCAGAUUUGGACACAGUCAGAAUCUACACUUAAAUAACACUAGAUUACUUGAAGAAGCACUUAAGAAGGAAAUAUGAAGGGAGCUAAUUAAUUAGGGUGUUUCAAUUUUUCUUUCAGGAAGUAUUUUGAAAUACACCAUUUGUUUUAGAAUUGGGUGAUAGAGUACUGCACCUCCAAGGUGUGUUACUGAAUCACACAGUCAGAAUCACCAUUUGCUUUCAGCAGAUACACGGGAGCAGAGAACUUCAGUAGGAAUGUAAAGCAAAGAGGUUAAUCUUCUUUUAAUUAGCCCAUGGAAUUUCUCACACCAUGCUGCUCCAAACCCAGGAACUCUCUCAUGGACCUGCAUGAUUUUGCAUUUUUCUAAUAGUUUAAAAUGUAUUUUUAAGAUGACUCUCUGCCUAUCUAGGACUUAAUUAUGAUCUAAAAAGAGACUGGCAAUGAUGGAAAAACUUUAUUUGCCUUAGCUGCAUUCACUAAAGUUAUGUUUAAUCUCAGGUUUUAUUUCUCUAGUUCUAACAUUCUACAUUUUUCUUUAACUAGAAAAAUAUAGGAGAGACAAAUGAUCAAUCAUUGAGGAUGAUAGAUCCUGUACAGAAUAGAAAAAAAAUCCUACAAAUCUUCUACUGUCAAACUCUGCAAUGAUUUUUCACAUGUGCAACGAACUGCAAAUCAGUGGGGUCAGGGAACAGAAUUGGAUGAGACAUGGAGAUGGGGGUUGUGAUGACACAGGAAAAAAGAACCACCUUCAUCAGUAAUGCUAACAAGUUGUCAGUAAAUUAGUCCCUGAUCACUGAGAUAAUGGUAUCUAAAUGAUGCAGGAAUUAACUUUAUUCUGCCACGGUUUGUGCUCUUACUUUAGUCCUCAAAGACCUCCUAGCUGGUCGAUACUUUAAUCCUGCAGUUCCUUUUUCCUGUAGCUGCAGUUCUGAGGUGACUUAAAGCUCAGGUCAGCUUAACAAAAGGUGUCAAACUCUUGCCUUAAGUCUGCAUUAUGACUAAUUUAAUUGCUCACAACUUUCUCUAUUUCCUUAGGAAGUGAACUGCUCAUGGUUCCAUUUUGCCAAAAAACAGAUGCAUUAAGUCUUCCACACUUCAUCUAAAAAUUUAGGGCUAUAUUAAGGGAAAAAAUAUCAGGCUGUGGAAGGAAAGUUUGCCUCCUGAGGAAAGGAGUUUCAGUGAUUUGCAAUAGGUAAUAUUUCCAAAUUUCCAAAUUCACAGACUCCCUGUGUCACAUAUUGAAAUGUUUGAGUAGAGAGACAAAUAUGUACAACAUCUAAAGGGAAAAAAAAUGAUAAUGAGAAAGGUAAAAAAAGAGAAGACUGCAUAACAAAAGAAAAAAAAAGGCAAAAAAAAAGAAAUUUAAAAAUAAAAGGAGGAUAAAAAGUCAUCACCUGCAAGACUCUCCAUAUAUAAGCUGCUCAGCGGGGAAUUUGAGAACUGGCACUGCCAGCACAGGGAGCACAGCAAUGAAGGGCAUGGCACAGGACAGCCAGGCACGUAUCAUUUUCUCUCUCCUUCCCAAGGACCCUGCAUCAGGACAGCUGUCAUUCAGAGGAUGCUCAUUCAGCUCCUUCUGGUCACUGCUCACCGCCAGUGACCUGCCAGGCAGGUGUCACUGCUGCCAGGCACAGUCAUGCUCCUCUCCCUCUGCCUUAGCUUGCUCACCAGCAGCUGCUCCAGUUGGGAUUUAUGAGAUCCUCUUCACAUUCACUCUAAGAAGAAGCCUGCAGGUACUGCCACAUUUAUUGCUUCCCAGCCUUCUUUUGGCCACAUGCUGUUCUUUAGCCCAGGACUUCUUUCUUCUCUUGACAGCUGCCUUGACAAUGCAAUCCUGAAACAGGAAUGGGGUUUGUUUCUAGGCAUAGUCCCAGCACUAACACCUACUCGAGCUUCCUUUGUCCCCAGCCAUGAUAGGUACAUCUGUCCAUAGGCUGUAAACUCAUGUUUGAUGACAUGUUGUUCACUUGAUAAUUACUCAGUAUGACAUGGGAGUUCACAGCUAUAUGUGACUUCCCUGUUUGCACAGUCUAGCAACUGAAGAUUUGUCUUUCCAGCAAGACUUCUCUGCCUUCAGGGGAAUACAGGCCAACACCAUCUGCUUGCAGAUGUUUUUAUAUGAAAAAUUAUUGUGAAUUUUGAAUAUACAGACACAAGAGAUGCAUUAUACCUGGAAAUAGGUAACAACAGGGGAUUUUGUAUUCCCAGAUUGAGAGGUCUUUGAAACCCAAAUCUUUUGUGCUACACCUGUUCGGUUUACCACUUCAGAACUGGAAAAUUAACCAUGGCACAAGUUAUUGGACCAAGUCACAUAAUUUACCAGACUACACCUGAAGCUUGAGCCUGGAGCCUAAGCAUCCUGAGAGAUGUAGGUGCAAAAUGUUCAGUGAAUCAAGCAGGAGUAUAGGCUUGAGAUAAACUUCAUUGCCAUGAAACUUCCCAAUGUGUAGUUCACAACACAGAGAAAAAUUAAGAGCUAAAAAUUUAUAUUCUUGUGAAGAAAAAAAAACCCAAAACACAUUCAAAUGACUUACUGCUUGAGUCUUAUUCAAUCAGAGCUUUUAUUUUUCUUUUCCAAAGGAAGUCCCCAAUGAUUUUAUAACAGACUCAAAACUCUGGGGCUGAAUGGAAAAAAAAAAAAAAAAGGUAAUCUAAGCUGUUUGGUUGAGCUAUUCCAGAUUUACCCUGGUUUAAUCAGCAUCAGAAUUUAGCCCUUCUUAAGAAAAUGUAAGAAAGCCUGCAUAUUGCAAAAGGUAAGGAAAUAAGAGAAAUUACAGCAAGUCCAAUCCCAUGUAGUCUAUGAAUACUGAAGUUUUCAAACAGGUCAUUUGGCCUCAUGUCAAGCAAAGUAUCUGAUGAGAAAAUAAGAAGGAGACAAAGUAGGGAAUUUAAAUUGUAUUUGAUUCUGCUUUUACUUAUGCUGCUGUUAAUAUACACCAGACAAAAAUCUGACAUGUGGGACAUAAUACAGGAGAGUAUCCUGGAAAAACCUACAUGUAACUUCAAUAAAUGAAUAAUGCACUUUAACAUACUAACAACAACAACAACAAAAAAAGGAAAUAAAAGUUGAGUGGAGUAUAUGCUAAUCUGCAUUUAGGAAAAUGCUUUCGCUGCAAAAUAUUUUAAGUUCCAAACACCCAGGGCACUGUAAAAUGAAAAUAUUCCUUUUUUUGCUUAGCCUUAGAAACAUUUCCUAAAUAUUUACCUGUCUCAUCAUUUGCAUAAUUUUGUCUUUGCUUUAUAAGAAAAAAUAUAAUACCACUUACUGAUUGGAUGGAUAACAAAGAAAAAACAACAAUUACCCAGAAAUCCCUAAUGGGGAGCAUAAGCUUUUUUAAAGUAUUUAUUUCAUUGCAACAUAAAUUGGGAGUACAUAAAAAGCUUUGCCUAUAUAUGCUUCAAAAAUGAAACUAUUAAUACAUCAGUUACACAUAUAAUUCACCUGAACUGUGAACAGCACCUAAAGAAUUUGCAUUAAUCUGUUGAAAGUGGCAGCAUCGACACUGUUAUUUCAUGAUUUCAGAUUUGUCAAGGGUUUAUCCACUACGACUUGAAAACAAAGCAAGAGACUCCUGCAAAAGGUAGCUUAAACACCGUGGUGAUUUGAGAAGCAUUGCAGGUGUAAAAUGGUAAUAAGUAGCAAUAUAAUUGGUAAAAACCUAACCUGUUCAAGAAACAGUUGAAAAAAAACUGGCCCUAUAGUCAUCACUGUCUCAAGUACCAACUGUGAUUCCCUUCCCUGCUCUUUGUUUCAAUUGAUAUACAGUAGGUACUUUUGACUCUGAAUUCAUCUCUUCUGUCCUAUCCCUCACUCCCAUUUCUUUCCUUUGAGUAAUUCAUGAAAGUUAGUCUCCAAAAAAGCAUGCUGUUGCAGUUUAACCCCAGCCAGCAGCUCAGCCCCCCACAGCCCACACUCCACACCCCACACUCACCCCUCCCAGUGAUUUGGGGGAAGAGAAUCAGAAGGGGGAAAGUGAGAAAACUCAUGGGUUGAAAUAAAGACAGUUUAAUAACCAAAGCAAAAGCAGCACCUGCAAGCAAAGCAGAACAAGGAAUUUAUACACUGCUUCUCAUGGGCAGGUAGGUGAUCAGCCAUCCCCAGGGAAGCAGUGCUCCAACACACAUAGGACUUAGGAAGACAAACUCCAUCACUCCAAAUGUCCUCCCUUCCUUCUUUUUUUUCCCCAACUUGAUAUGCUGAGCAUGACAACAAAUGGUCUGCAAUACCCCUGUGGUCAGUUGGGGUCAGCUGUCCCAGAUGUGUCCCCUCCAAAGCCCUUGUGCACCACCAGCCUCCUCGCUGGUGGGGUGGGGUGAGGAGCAGAAAAGGCUUGGGCUGUGUGUGAGCAUUGCUUAGCAACAAUGAAAGCAUCUUAUCAUCACUGUUUUCAGCACAAAUCCAAAAUACAGCCCCAUACCAGCUACUGUGAAGAAAAUUAACUUGAUCUUAGCCAAAACCAGCACUUCUGCUGAUUCCUAAUACCAGUGGGUUCAUUCCAGCAGCUCUCAACAUUCAGUAGGCCAAACCAAAUGAAAAGUGUGUCAUCACAUACUCUGAGCACACAAUUUCACUGAGCUUGUGUGUCAGUCUCUGCUUUUAGUAGCAGUAAUAUAGAGUCAGAAUAAUUCCAGCAAUGUAGUAAAUGCAUGGAACUAUUACAAACUUGCACUACAUUAUCUCAGAGUAGGAGCUGAGGCAGGAAAGAGGUAAAAACAUACUCUGCUACAAUACUACUCAGACUUAUACUAUUGGAAAUAGCCAAACAGGGCUGUUCUGCUAAACCAGUGCAAAUCCAGUUUGCAAAGUAACAGCAGAAAAAAGAAAAAUUAAUACCACGUUUUUUUACUACAACUGCUCAACAGUACUACUGUUUACUCUUCUUGUGUUUUCUUAAGUUUCUCAGGAGCAAUGCUACUGGAAAAAACCAAAAAGCCCAAAGAUAGGAUUCUGUCUAGAUCUGGAUUCAUUCCAGCAGAAAACAUAUGUAUCAGUCCAGACACUGAGCACCAGCACCACUGUUAAGCUUUGUGAUAAUGAAAGUUAACAGAUUUAUGGAGCAGUCAGUGGAAUACAUGAUGUAAAUCAGGAAAAGCAAUAGCCACUCAUGAAAAGUGGUUACUGGGGUACAGCACUCUGAGAGCCGAUCAAACAGCACAGGAGAGGUAUGGCUUUCAUGUGAGUAAUUUAUUCUUUUAUCAUUUUAAAUUUAACCAGGUAUUUACUUACAAAGAAACUUUCUGUGGAUAUAAUUUACAUCAGCAACUGCACAUUUUUAGCCAUUACUAGGGUAUGACUAACAUCCUCCCCAUGUUGCUUAACAGUGCCAGUUUUGAUCAAAUGGGAUUAUUCUUUUGCCAAUUACUUUUUUGACUUAGUUUCAAGUGUAAACAGAAUCUGUACACAUGCUUUUGCUGCAAUUAAGAUUUCUAGUUUACAGAACAAGUUAGCAGAUAGAAACAGUAAAGUUUCAUUUGUUAAUAGCAGUUCUUUAUUUAAAUUGGGAUUUAGUUUGAGGUUCAAUGAAGGCUUUUGGCAUUUCAUUAUUAGGUACAGCAAUGCCUCUUUACAAAAGUGGCACCCCUGAGAAGAACCCAAAUUACCUGUUGGCUGCCCAGUAUGUUUGGAUGCCCAGUACAGUGCAUGGACGAGCUCAUCUAAGACUGGUAACCCAAAACACAGAGCCUAUUUGCAAAAGCUUUCCAAAGAAAACAUGACUGAUUGUAGCAGCUUGUACUAAAUCUAUGUUGAAUAGAUAGGUGGGGCCUUCAAUCUGUUCAGAACUCAAUGUACAGGAGCCUAUGUGUGUAAGCUUUCGGAGGAUUUGCAUGAAGCUUCCUGAGGAAGAGCCAGAGGUGGUGGUCCCAAUGUACUCUCAAACAGCCAUCGAGAUCUGAGAACAUACGCACACACACACACCAACUGCAAGGCCCCAGUUCAGUCCUUACUCAGCUUACUGGAAUUCAAAUUCUCUUAUGGGAAUCCUAAAUUCUCUAGCAGAUGACCUUGAAAACAGGAAUAGUCUAGGGAGGAAAAAUUACUACCUGAAAAAUUAGGGCAACUAUCUCCUGUGUGUCCCUUUAAAAUGGGAAGACUGUAAGAUUCACGGGGAUGAAAGACAGCAGGGCAGACAGACUGUGUCUCUCUAGCUAGUCUCAGAUCAGCCAGUGAGGAUGACUACCUUCAUGACUGCCUGGACCAGUCCCAGUAGUUCCUUUAGCCCAUUGACAACCAGAGGGUGGGAGACGUGGACUGAAUGCUUGCAGGCUAAGAAAGAACACACAGGUCUCCAUGUUCUAUGCAAAUAUGUUCACUUCAGGCUACUCUAGAGAAAAUGGCUGUUUUAAAAGCAAAACACAUGCAAACACAACUUGAGGGUGGCCUGGCCUUUUGGUUUGUACCUAAAAUAAACCCUAUUACAUCAGUGGUUUCUGGAUAUCCCACUUGGUAGGUAGAUGUGGAACUGCUCUGAGCAGCUCCAAAUGGGUGGAGGGGAACUGCUCAGCAGCUCCCCAUGUCAAAGACAUAGUUGUUGCUAGGUUUAAGUAAAACUGUAGGGUUCUGAAAUGACAGUCUUUAAAUGCCUGAAGACUACCUAAAUUAUGGUUCUAGUACCCAAGUUUUGGGGCAGGGAGGGGGUUUCUUUGUGAAGAUAGAACUGGGGGAGAAAACAAUUCACAGCAAACAUGCCUCAGGCCUUCCAGGGAGGAAACAGAGGCCACAGAGUAGGAAAUCUGGCUAGAAACAUGCCUCUGUUGUUAAUCAUCAGGCUACGACUACGCAGUGUGCAAAGGAAACAGGUUUGAUAGACAGCUACUAAUGAAGCCCAGACUCUCCCCACUAACACUGUAUAAACAGUGAAAGCAGGUAAGCACUUGAUUCAACUUUUUUAAAAAAUAGGAGCUAGCAAAAACACAAACCACUGCAGGUUUUUCAAACGCUUAUUACUGUAGAAAUGUAUUUCUUCAUAGUGUACAGCAAUAAAUAUUGGAAGAAAGGAUAUGGUUCAUUCUAUUCCAAAAGUUUGUGGAUUAUUGUCACAUCUUAAACCAUGGAAACUUCCCAAAACACAUUUAGAAGCAUUUUCAUGGCACUAGCAGAAUGAAAAUGCUUGAUUAAUAGGAAUGCAAAACAUGGUUUGAUACCUCACUACACUGUAGCAUAAGAACUAUACUACAUAAGUCUUUGAACUAUGAAAUUGCCUUGUAUUGCAAGAUAAAACAGACAUUUCCUUGUGUUCCUGGUGAUGCUACUAUUUCAAAAUCUGGCCUAGCACUUACAUCUCUAGUUUAAGUAUGCACCUAAGCCUUGCAUUACACAGCUUGAAAUACUUUCUACAGUUAACAUAAAAAUUAUGCAGAAAGCAAACAUGUAAUUUUUCUUUCCUGCUCAAGCUACAGUGCUGUAAUUUAAUCUAGAGUCAAUAUUUCCAAGGAUUCUCAUCUGAGAAUUAAAUCAAAUACUCUGUGAAGGAUGUUAAAUUCCACUGCACCAGCCUGUACUGAGGCUAAGAUAAAUGUCACAAUCCACAGGCCUACAGCUCCUGCCAGCUGAUGCUUUAAUUAGCUCACUAGGGAACAGGCUCACUUGGCUAAGAACUUCUAGGACUGGACCACUGUUUUCUACAGAUUGACUAACCAGAUCAGCUGCAUUAAAACCCUGCACAAAAACAAUGAGAAGAGAAAAAAAUACCCAAAUAAAGAGAAGAAAAGAAGCAUCUAUUAAGUUCACUAUUCUGUUUUGUACAGAUGGUGUCUCAUAGGACAGAGCCUGCUGCCUUCCUUUGGAACUAACAAUUAUGUGUAAGAAUGCUAAAGUCCUGUUUAACAAAAACAUCUUAAUAAAACAUAAAAAGAUCUGCUUUUUUGAUGCAAGGUCCCUAUGUCUUUCUAAAAUAUGAAUCUAUACUAGAACUUUGAGUAUAAAGAAUUCUCUUCUACAGUCCAUGCGAGUUCCUUGCUGAAUAUACAGCAAUGUACCAGCAAAAACACAGGUUAUUUUUUCAGAAAAGGUUUCUCAGUGAUUUACCAUAAAGCUAAAACAUUUGCCUUGCCUACUGAUUUUUUUAAAAAAUAAAAUAUAUAAAAUAAAUGCAUGUGCCCUUUUCAAUAUAGUCUGUCUGUGUAGACAUUUCAGGUUUUCCAAUUCUGAGUAACGUGACAAAAAGUGUGCUCCAACUUUCCACAGGCAGGAAGUUUUUUUUGUAUGGUUUUGACUCAUUUGGACGCUGCCCCACAAACAGCACUCUUGGGCAGUUUAGAAUCACAAUGACAGCGUACGCCAACAGCACGUACUGCAAUUAACAAAGAGUUAUUGAUUACAGCAAUCAUUAGUUCAAAAUAAAUAAAGCAGUCUCUCAAUCAAAAGACAGAGAAGUAACAUCAUGCUAGUGCACAAUAUAAUCAAUAUGUGUAGCACAUUCCUAUUUUCCAUGUCCCCUAUUGAUGGUCUUGAAAAUAAGAGGGAAAGGCCUUUUGCCACAGGUUGGUUUAGGUUAACCUUCCUUGACCUGCAGUUAAUUAAAGAGCAUAUGAAGUACAAACUUCUUCCCCAGC
ensembl:lncRNA